CGAAUUAACAGUCAGUGUUAGUUGAGAAGUCAGAGAGUGCAAACUGUGUUGUCGAGAGAGUGUGGCUAGUGUUGCUAGCGUUGUCGAGAGAAUGUGGUCCGCGUGAGAGAGAGCGUUUGAUUCGUGGUACGUUGUUGUAUUUAGUUCACGUUAAACAACCAUCUUUUCCUGUUUAAUCAGCAUCUGCACAAUCCAUUAUUAUUAAUAGACUAAUUGUAGUAUAAGAUCCUACAAUAAUGCUAUAUAAAGCCAU